UGUGAUGAAGGCCUUCGGGUUGUAAAGCACUUUUGUCAGGGACGAUGAUGACGGUACCUGACGAAUAAGCUCCAGCUAACUUCGUG
rnacentral:rRNA from 1 species